rnacentral:rRNA from 1 species
AUGGUUCAGCUGUGGGCACAGCACCACAAGCCCAACACAACACCCAAGGACGCACAUACAACAAGCGGCGGUGGCGACGUCGACGAAGACGCAGAUCUAAUCUGGCUCAGGUGGUGGUGGAGGGAGCGGGGGAGCCAGUCGGAGAGCCAUCGCGCGAAGCUGAGUGAUGAUGGAGGUGAUGGCGUCUCUCUCCCUGGGGCGGCUAAGCGGCCGCCAAAGCUGCAAGUAACCAGACCAUUUGAACAAAGCGUCAGUAGCACAACGAAGAGGGAUACGCUGAAUCACAAGUUUAUUCCUAACAGUCCACAGCGUUCAGGCAAGGACCCCGAUGAUCAGCCACCUAGUGCGGCGUAA